GCAUUAAUGGGGUAGUGGUAACCUGGGUCGUUGCCAUUUUCUGGUCCUGCGGAAUCCAAAUUUCUCGACCCGCCGGGGGUUCGAUUCUCUCUUAAUGCA